rnacentral:rRNA from 1 species
GAUGAACGCUGGCGGCGUGCCUAAUACAUGCAAGUCGAGCGAACGGACGAGAAGCUUGCUUCUCUGAUGUUAGCGGCGGACGGGUGAGUAACACGUGGAUAACCUACCUAUAAGACUGGGAUAACCUCGGGAAACCGGAGCUAAUACCGGAUGAUAUUUUGAACCGCAUGGUUCAAAAGUGAAAGACGGUCUUGCUGUCACUUAUAGAUGGAUCCGCGCUGCAUUAGCUAGUUGGUAAGGUAACGGCUUACCAAGGCAACGAUGCAUAGCCGACCUGAGAGGGUGAUCGGCCACACUGGAACUGAGACACGGUCCAGACUCCUACGGGAGGCAGCAGUAGGGAAUCUUCCGCAAUGGGCGAAAGCCUGACGGAGCAACGCCGCGUGAGUGAUGAAGGUCUUCGGAUCGUAAAACUCUGUUAUUAGGGAAGAACAUAUGUGUAAGUAACUGUGCACAUCUUGACGGUACCUAAUCAGAAAGCCACGGCUAACUACGUG